rnacentral:rRNA from 1 species
GUGGGGAAUAUUGCACAAUGGGCGCAAGCCUGAUGCAGCGACGCCGCGUGGGGGAUGACGGCCUUCGGGUUGUAAACUCCUUUCGUUGGGGACGAAGCCUUUUUUAAGGUGACGGUACUUGAAGAAGAAGCACCGGCUAACUACGUGCCAGCAGCCGCGGUAAUACGUAGGGUGCAAGCGUUGUCCGGAAUUACUGGGCGUAAAGAGCUCGUAGGUGGUUUGUCGCGUCGUCUGUGAAAUUCCGGGGCUUAACUCCGGGCGUGCAGGCGAUACGGGCAUAACUUGAGUGCUGUAGGGGAGACUGGAAUUCCUGGUGUAGCGGUGAAAUGCGCAGAUAUCAGGAGGAACACCGAUGGCGAAGGCAGGUCUCUGGGCAGUUACUGACGCUGAGGAGCGAAAGCAUGGGUAGCAAACAGGAUUAGAAACCCUAGUAGUCC